ACGAAUUUAAUGCUGCCACUGCAUGUUAUAAAUAUGUCUGGACGAAAUUAAUGCUGCUGCUACAUGUUUGGACGAAUUUAAUGUAUGUUUUUAAGGUGUCCAGCUGAAUUUAAUUGUCAUUACAUCAUUUAAUUUGCUUUGCUACAACCGAAUUUAAUGAUGUCUUAAAUGGUGUCCAGUUGAAGUUAAUUGUGGCUGCAGAAUUAAAUAUGUCUAGUUAACCAUUUAAUGUUGUCUUAACAUGAAUUAAUGGUUGUUGCAUGCAGGUACAUGGACAGCAUUAAAAGAAGUGGUUGUUGCCGAAAUUAAAAUUGCUGGAAUUAAUGUGCAGCAAAAGCAAUUAUGGACGGCCAUUCAAUGGAUGCUGGAAGCAUUUAAGGAGCUGCUUGUGCUUUUUCAUGUGGCCAUUUAAUGGAUGAAAUUAAAGAAGCUGCUUGCUGAUUUAUUGUGCAGCAAAGCCAUGAAUUAAAUGUGAUGUUCCACAUGCAAGGAACGUCCACUUAAUGAGCUGCUGAUUUAUUUUUUUCGUGCACAGCAAGGGAUCCAUGAAGAGUUGCUGAUUCCUCUUUUCCAUGAGCCAUUUUCGUUCUUCUCAAAUGCCAUAAAUGUGCCGUCCAUGUGAGGGAAUGUGCCUCUUCGUGGAGAUUAAAAAGCUAUGACUCCUCACAUUUAUUUGGCAGCCCAUUUCUCUUCCCCAAGUUGGCCUUUGAGCUCCCCAAGAAUCCAUAAGAGCUUUCACACAAGUUGGACGAAUUUAGGCCAAUCUAAAAAAUUCUAUUCAGCCAUUUCAGCUCAACCAUCACCUCAUUAAUUCAAGGCUAUUAGAAGACAUCAAAUGGCUGUCCAUUGACGUCUCCAAAGCUGGGAAUCUUCAAGAAAGCUUCAAGGGACGUUCUAGGAAGCUACAUGAAAUUUUCAAUUCAUUUGCUUUGAAAAUAAGCUGACUUUUUAGCUGCUCAAGUGUCCAUUCGGCUAGCCUAGGAAUUUAGCUAUAAAUAGUUUGCUUUGUAAUUGUUUUGGGGUUAGAUAAUAUUUUUUAAAACUUAUAUGAAAUUUGUUUACUUUGUGAGUUUGUUUUCAACUCUCAUUGUUCUCCAAGGACUGGUUAGACUUAUCAAGUAACCCUUGUGGCGUCAACCCGUUUUUAUAUUUCGAACUUAUCACUUUGCACCCAAAGUGUGGCGUUCAAAGUUAUACCGAGGUUCCUAUCAUCUUUGAUAGUGGGUCGAGGUUCCAUUUUAUUUGUUUUCCAUCCAUACGACAUUUAACCUUUCCUAAGUAUUCGUAUAAGUCCCGGGUUAACACACUUAUAUUAUGUUGGUUCAACUUGAAUACUUGGUUUUCAUUCACCUAUCAACCUCAAUACAUUCCAUAACCCCUUUUGAACUAAAUUUGAGCCUUUAUCUCUUCUUUCUUAACCUAUUUCGUCCACCCUCGAGUAUUACUACAAUUCACGAUCGGGAACAACAACGACUCAGAUUCAUCAACGAGGCCGGGGGUGUAUCAUUUGGUAUCAGAGCUAGCUGAAUCGGAGUAAGAUCGACGUUAUCGGUAUUACGGUAUUGUAAAAAAAAUAAAAAAAAUUCAAAAAAAAUUCAAAAAAAAGUUUGUAUUCAAUUUAUUUUUACUUUUUGUAUUUAGUAUUGAAGGAAAAAAAGAAGAAAAAAAAUCAAAAUUAAAAAAAAGAAGAAAAAAAAAUCAAAAUUGAAAAAAAAGAGUGAUUAAAAUUCAUUUUGGGUUUGUAAAAGCAUUGCUUGUUGCCCGAAGGACCAUAUCUAUAUUGCCACACUUAACCAUUUCUAUUUUGUUUGAUAGCCUACCAUUUCCGACAUCAUUACCCACCAAGCCAAAUCAAUUUUGGAAGCUGACGCCAAACGGUAUUGAUUCGUCGACUUAGUUUGCGAAGAACUUCGAGAGGCGAAAAAUCGAGUGGAAAAAGGCAAGAGUGAUUGGUGAGGCCAUUUGAGAGAAGUAAAAGCCAAGUUGUGUGAAUUUUCUUUGCGAGUGAAACGUGAGAUUUUUUUGGUGAGCAAUUAAAUCAUGUCUCAAGAAGAAUUUUCCGAAUCAGAAUUCCAAUAUUUGAUGCAAGAAAUGCGUAGAAUGGUAAAAUUAAAAUUUGAUAAAUUGCAUUAUCGUUUGGACCGAGUGGAGGAAAAGGCCCGACGGAAACAAAAUCUACCAAGUCGAGAAACGGAGUUAAGAUCAUCCCGACGACACUACUCGACAAGAGACUCUUAUCAAGACUUCUAUUCAACAAGGCGUUCGAGACCAAGAGAAGCAAACUCCGAGUUUGAGUCCUUCCGAGAUGAUAAACGAAAAGGUAAACGUGUCUCUACAAGUGCCUCAAUUUAUUCAUCUACAAAGGAUUAUUUACGAAGAGGUGCACGUGUUUCAAGAGUGUCAAAGUACUCGACUACGGAAGAUCUAUCACAAAGAGAAGAUUGCCAUUUGUAUGAAGAAUCCUUUUCUUAUUCUCAACGAAAGGCUUCUCAUUUUGAUGAUUUCUACUUUUGUAAUGGAAUUGAAAUAGCAUGUGAAAAAGAAAAAGAAAAAGAGCGCGAGCGAGAAAAUGAACAUGAAAAAGAAAUGAAAGAAAAAGAAGAUGAGUGGGAGAUAGAAAAGAAAAUUGAAAAUGAGAUUGAGAAUAAAAACGAGUGCGAAAAAGAAAAGGAAACCGAAAAAGAGAGUGAGAUUGAAGGAAGAAACGAGAGUACAAAAGAAAUGAGUGAUAUGGUAAAAGAAAGAGGAUUUGAAAAUGAGUUGGAAAAAGAAAUAAACGAAAAGGAUGAAAGUGAAAAAGAAAGGAGUGUUGUUACUAACCAUCCUAUGAAUUUUCCUUGUUUUGUUUCUACUUUUCAGGUUUCUCGAAAUCCCAUCGAUCAAUUUCAACUUCAAUACUUUUCUAAGGAGAAACGAUUUCGAUUAGUCAAGAAAGGUAAGAUCGUAGAUGACCCUAGUCCACAAGUGCUUAAAGGUAAGCCAUGUAAGGGAUCUACUGUAUUUGAGUCUUCUCAAUCUUACUUGAUUCUUGAUGACGAGAUUAGCAAAGACUUAGUUUGUGAGAAAGUUUUUCAUCUUGAUCUGAUUGGAAAUCAUAAUUUGAUUGUUGAUAAAUGUGUUUUACAUAGUAAUGUGAAAUAUCUUUCUGUUCAUGAGCCUAUCAUUGUCAAGAUUGAUCAAGAAGUAAGUCCAGGUAAGCCCAAACAAAAUUUGGGAUUGUGUGAUGAAAAGUUGACAUCUAAUCUGUGUGCUUGUGAUGAUCAUGUGAAUUAUCUAAAUUGUGGUGUGAACUUUUCUUGUUUACGUGUGCGAAUGAAAUAUGAAGGGUUUGAUUGCUCGAAUGUAUGUAUUCCUAACUCCUAUUUGCUUGACAUGUGUGAAGUCUUGGUGAAGAAGAAAUUUUUGUUGCGUUGCGAAACGACCAAUGAAAAUCGCGUUUUUAAACCCGGGAUAUACAUUCCUAAGUUAACGUCAAGCCAAGCAAGAGGAAGCUUCGUUUUUGACCCCGGAGAUUAUUAUUCUUUGUUCUUGUUAAAAGGGUUUGGAUUUUGCAAUUUUAACUUUCGAGAUUAUGUCUUUCGACUGUUUUGUGGUUCGGAUUUGUUUCUAUCCAUGAACUUUUUGAUUCAUUUUGGAAAGGUAAGACCGAAUUUCAUUUUUGAUCCUGGCAUUGGGUUAAGCAUCCCAAUUUUGAAUAAGCAUCUAAAAAUAUCAUUUGUGUUUAUAAUUUUUAGUGUCUCUAAUUCCUUUCAUUCUUGUGUAGGUGACACUCUAAAUUGUUUCCCUCUUAAAGAGGGAGGGCGUGGAGAUGGACCUUUUCAAGUCUUGGAGAGAAUUAAUGAUAACGCUUAUAAGUUAGAUUUACCUGGUGAGUAUGGGGUUAGUGCUACUUUUAAUGUUGCUGAUUUAUCUCUUUUCGAUGUAGGUGACGAUUUGGGAGCAAAUCACCUCGAAGAGGGGGGGAAUGAUGCAACCUUAGCCCGGGAAAUUACUACCGAAUCCAUUGAGCUGCCACGAGGACCAAUAACUCGAUCACGAGCUAAGAGAUUUCGAAAUGCAAUAGCAAGCUAUGUGGAACGAGCUUGGGAAGAGGGAGUGGCUGGAUUUGAUAGUCGUGCUUCAAACCGUUCAAAAGGCGUUACUUGCAAUUUAUUGCAAGCUGAAUUUGUUUCUUUUAAUUAACUUGUUUUAGUUUAAUAAAUAAGUUGCUGAUCAAUUAAUUUAACUUAUCUUAAAGUUUUAAUACAUGAGUUAGUUAUUGAACUUUAUUAAAUAAGAUGCUUCUUAAUUGAUCUAGUUCCUAGGAUUAUUUAUUGAUGCAUAAAUUAAGUUCUUUAAAUUAUGCUUCUUUAAUUAAACUAGUUGCUGGAAUAAUUAUUGCAUAUAUGUUUUAGUUCAUUUAUUUAAGUAAGUUUAAUAUGUGUUAUGAUUAAUAAGUGUUUUAAUGUGUUUAAUAAACUCAUUUUAAUGUGUUUAUUGCAGGUGACUUUUUAGCUUAUAGUGGUUACAAUUCAAGGCUGUUACACAUUUAAUAAGUGGCUGUUCAAGUUCUUUUGAGUUACAAUUAAAGGGGCUGUUAAAAAAAGGAGCUUAAAGAUCAUUAAAAGGAGUUUUUAAAGAGCAUUUUAUGCCCUUUAAAAUUCAGCAGCAACUCUUCCACUUCCAGCCGUUUUUGGAGCUUUUAAGAGAAAUUAAUCAAGCCUUUGAAUGUCAUUAAGGAGCUGGUAAGAGAUGGUGUCUAUUCAACUAGCCAAGGACAACUCAAGAGUCAUUUUCUAAGCCAUUAAAGACAUUUAAAUCAGCUGAAUUAAAGUGAUUUUAUGGAAGGAGUUAUUUGGUUCAAAGAAUAAGAAAAGACAUCAGUUUUUUAUGGCACAUUAAGUGGAUGUUUUUGACCAUUCGGUUACCUUGUUCUAGCAUUAUAAAUAGAUGUAAUAAGCCAUAGAGGGAACAACUUUUUGCUGAAUAUAGAUGAAAUAUUUGAAUUGUGAGCUAUCCAAUUCUCUUUGUUCUUUCGGAAUUGAUUUGACUUAUCAAGCAUAGCUUGUGGCGUCCAUCUUUUCUUUGUUGCUGAACUUAUCACCUUUGGUGUGGCGUUCAAUAUACCUUUGGUUCCUAUCAUAGUUGAUAGUGGGUCAAGGUUCCUUUCCUGUUUCCUUUAACCGAAAACACCUAAAGACCAUUUUGAGAUUCGGGUCAACAAUUCGUUAUUGUUGGUUCAUUUUCGGUCUUAGCCAAUAACAAACAAUUAAUUUGUUAUUGUUUCCUCUUUAUUUUGUUUAUUACCUUUGUUUGAAGCCAUUAUCUCUAUUUUGUUUCAUUUUAAAAUCGAAACGAAUCCAUCCUUACUCAAUUCACGAUUGGGCAACACAUACGACUCAAAACAUCACGAGACGAGUUCGUAUCAUCUACUGUAUUUGAGUCUUCUCAAUCUUACUUGAUUCUUGAUGACGAGAUUAGCAAAGACUUAGUUUGUGAGAAAGUUUUUCAUCUUGAUCUGAUUGGAAAUCAUAAUUUGAUUGUUGAUAAAUGUGUUUUACAUAGUAAUGUGAAAUAUCUUUCUGCUCAUGAGCCUAUCAUUGUCAAGAUUGAUCAAGAAGUAAGUCCAGGUAAGCCCAAAAAAAAUUUGGGAUUGUGUGAUGAAAAGUUGACAUCUAAUCUGUGUGCUUGUGAUGAUCAUGUGAAUUAUCUAAAUUGUGGUGUGAACUUUUCUUGUUUACGUGUGCGAAUGAAAUAUGAAGGGCUUGAUUGCUCGAAUGUAUGUAUGCCUAACUCCUAUUUGCUUGACAUGUGUGAAGUCUUGGUGAAGAAGAAAUUUUUGUUGCGUUGCGAAACGACCAAUGAAAGUCGCGUUUUUAAACCCGGGAUAUACAUUCCUAAGUUAACGUCAAGCCAAGCAAGAGGAAGCUUCGUUUUUUACCCCGGAGAUUAUUAUUCUUUGUUCUUGUUAAAAGGGUUUGGAUUUUGCAAUUUUGACUUUUGAGAUUAUGUCUUUCGACUGUUUUGUGGUUCGGAUUUGUUUCUAUCCAUGAACUUUUUGAUUCAUUUUGGAAAGGUAAGACCGAAUUUCAUUUUUGAUCCUGGCAUUGGGUUAAGCAUCCCAAUUUUGAAUAAGCAUCUAAAAAUAUCAUUUGUGUUUAUAAUUUUUAGUGUCUCUAAUUCCUUUCAUUCUUAUGUAGGUGACACUCUAAAUUGUUUCCCUCUUAAAGAGGGAGGGCGUGGAAAUAAUUCAAUUUCUUAUCGAACCAUUUGUGAUUUUCAAAGUUUAGGAAAUGAUUCUAUUCGGAUCAUGAACAAAAGGGUUCGAGAUCUUGAAAAAUUUUUCUCGAGCAAAUGGCCCGAUUUGAGGACAAAUCGCCUUGGAGGGGAUGAUACGACCACGCCUCGGGCACAUUUUUUCGAUCAGCUCCUUAAGUAUUUCUUGCACACCCAUGUGAGCUAAAUUAGCUCAAUUGCAUCUCGCUGAGCUUCGUUUAGCUUGUUUCCAGCUCAAUGGGAUCAUUUUGCUCAAUUUGAGUUUAUUUUAAUUCUUAAAUUUUCAUUUGCUAAAAUAAAUUGAAUAAGUUAGUUUAUUUAUUUAUUCCAGCACAACUAAGUGUUAGUAUUAAAUUUAUUAAAAUUGGACAUUUUAAUUAGGUGUUUUAAAUAUGUUUUAUUUUUAUGUUUUUUUUAAUGUGUCCUAUUUUCAUACAUAGCAUAAAUAUGUCUAGGCUAUUACAUCUAUUUAUUAUGACGAAUUUAAUGCUGCCACUGCAUGUUAUAAAUAUGUCUGGACGAAAUUAAUGCUGCUGCUACAUGUUUGGACGAAUUUAAUGUAUGUUUUUAAGGUGUCCAGCUGAAUUUAAUUGUCAUUACAUCAUUUAAUUUGCUUUGCUACAACCGAAUUUAAUGAUGUCUUAAAUGGUGUCCAGUUGAAGUUAAUUGUGGCUGCAGAAUUAAAUAUGUCUAGUUAACCAUUUAAUGUUGUCUUAACAUGAAUUAAUGGUUGUUGCAUGCAGGUACAUGGACAGCAUUAAAAGAAGUGGUUGUUGCCGAAAUUAAAAUUGCUGGAAUUAAUGUGCAGCAAAAGCAAUUAUGGACGGCCAUUCAAUGGAUGCUGGAAGCAUUUAAGGAGCUGCUUGUGCUUUUUCAUGUGGCCAUUUAAUGGACGAAAUUAAAGAAGCUGCUUGCUGAUUUAUUGUGUAGCAAAGCCAUGAAUUAAAUGUGAUGUUCCACAUGCAAGGAACGUCCACUUAAUGAGCUGCUGAUUUAUUUUUUUCGUGCACAGCAAGGGAUCCAUGAAGAGUUGCUGAUUCCUCUUUUCCAUGAGCCAUUUUCGUUCUUCUCAAAUGCCAUAAAUGUGCCGUCCAUGUGAGGGAAUGUGCCUCUUCGUGGAGAUUAAAAAGCUAUGACUCCUCACAUUUAUUUGGCAGCCCAUUUCUCUUCCCCAAGUUGGCCUUUGAGCUCCCCAAGCAUCCAUAAGAGCUUUCACACAAGUUGGACGAAUUUAGGCCAAUCUAAACAAUUCUAUUCAGCCAUUUCAGCUCAACCAUCACCUCAUUAAUUCAAGGCUAUUAGAAGACAUCAAAUGGCUGUCCAUUGAGUCUCCAAAGCUGGGAAUCUUCAAGAAAGCUUCAAGGGACGUUCUAGGAAGCUACAUGAAAUUUUCAAUUCAUUUGUUUUGAAAAUAAGCUGACUUUUUAGCUGCUCAAGUGUCCAUUCGGCUAGCCUAGGAAUUUAGCUAUAAAUAGUUUGCUUUGUAAUUGUUUUGGGGUUAGAUAAUAUUUUUUUAAAACUUAUAUGAAAUUUGUUUACUUUGUGAGUUUGUUUUCAACUCUCAUUGUUCUCCAAGGACUGGUUAGACUUAUCAAGUAACCCUUGUGGUAUCAACCCGUUUUUAUAUUUCGAACUUAUCACUUUGCACCCAAAGUGUGGCGUUCAAAGUUAUACCGAGGUUCCUAUCAUCUUUGAUAGUGGGUCGAGGUUCCAUUUUAUUUGUUUUCCAUCCAUACGACAUUUAACCUUUCCUAAGUAUUCGUAUAAGUCCCGG
rnacentral:lncRNA from 1 species